AAGAAAAGCAAGAAAACCAUGUUCAGCAAGAUAUGCUUUCACACAAAGGGUUCCAAGAAAGUUAGAAAGGACCACUGUCCUCAAAAGUCUAUGGAGUACCAGCCUCAGAACACUUCCCCUACUGUGUACUUUACAGAGUCGAGGACAAAUUCUCAUGGCUCCUUUGCUCCAGAGGGAAAUGACAUCGCAUAUUCCUUCCCACCUGAAGAGAAGAGUCACAAACCCUCCCUUUUCACCAGAAUGUAUAGAGCCAUCACUAGAAGCUUCUCCAACCCAAGAUAAUUUUCCUCAUUAAAUGAGAUUGCAUUCAUUUGUUGUCAUAUGUUGACUGUUUUGCGAGCACAGACUGUAAUAUGUUCUGCGAUUCAUCCACAUGCAUUGAGGAGUAUACCACCUCAGUCACAGGCUACAUCAAUAAGUGGAUCGACAACGUCGUGCCCACAGUGACCGUAUGUACAUAUCCCCGACAGAAGCCAUGGAUUACAGGCAUCAUCCACACCGCGCUAAAGGCUAGAGCUGCUUCUUUCAAGGAGCGGGACACUAAUCCAGACACUUAUAUGAAAUCCU